GGCAGACGGGUGAGUAACGCGUGGGAAUCUACCCAAUUCUACGGAACAACAGUUGGAAACGACUGCUAAUACCGUAUACGCCCUACGGGGGAAAGAUUUAUCGGAAUUGGAUGAGCCCGCGUUGGAUUAGCUAGUUGGUGGGGUAAAGGCCUACCAAGGCGACGAUCCAUAGCUGGUCUGAGAGGAUGAUCAGCCACAUUGGGACUGAGACACGGCCCAAACUCCUACGGGAGGCAGCAGUGGGGAAUAUUGGACAAUGGGCGCAAGCCUGAUCCAGCCAUGCCGCGUGAGUGAUGAAGGUCUUAGGAUUGUAAAGCUCUUUCACCGGAGAAGAUAAUGACGGUAUCCGGAGAAGAAGCCCCGGCUAACUUCGUGCCAGCAGCCGCGGUAAUACGAAGGGGGCUAGCGUUGUUCGGAAUUACUGGGCGUAAAGCGCACGUAGGCGGAUAUUUAAGUCAGGGGUGAAAUCCCAGAGCUCAACUCUGGAACUGCCUCUGAUACUGGGUAUCUUGAGUAUGGAAGAGGUGAGUGGAAUUGCGAGUGUAGAGGUGAAAUUCGUAGAUAUUCGCAGGAACACCAGUGGCGAAGGCGGCUCACUG
rnacentral:rRNA from 1 species